UACGUAGGGUGCAAGCGUUAUCCGGAUUCACUGGGCUUAAAGGGCGUGUAGGCGGAUUUUUAAGUCAGUGGUGAAAUCUCCGGGCUCAACCCGGAAACUGCCAUUGAUACUAUUAGUCUUGAAUUCUGUUGAGGUGGGCGGAAUACAUCAUGUAGCGGUGAAAUGCUUAGAUAUGAUGUAGAACACCGAUUGCGAAGGCAGCUCACUAAGCAGACAUUGACGCUGAGGCACGAAAGCGUGGGGAUCAAACAGG
rnacentral:rRNA from 1 species